GACGAACGCUGGCGGCGUGCCUAAUACAUGCAAGUAGAACGCUGAAGAGAGGAGCUUGCUCUUCUUGGAUGAGUUGCGAACGGGUGAGUAACGCGUAGGUAACCUGCCUUGUAGCGGGGGAUAACUAUUGGAAACGAUAGCUAAUACCGCAUAACAAUGGAUGACACAUGUCAUUUAUUUGAAAGGGGCAAUUGCUCCACUACAAGAUGGACCUGCGUUGUAUUAGCUAGUAGGUGAGGUAAUGGCUCACCUAGGCGACGAUACAUAGCCGACCUGAGAGGGUGAUCGGCCACACUGGGACUGAGACACGGCCCAGACUCCUACGGGAGGCAGCAGUAGGGAAUCUUCGGCAAUGGGGGCAACCCUGACCGAGCAACGCCGCGGGAGUGAAGAAGAUUGUCGGAUCGUAAAGCUCUGUUGUAAGUCAAGAACGGGUGUGAGAGUGGAAAGUUCACACUGUGACGGUAGCUUACCAGAAAGGGACGGCUAACUACGUG
rnacentral:rRNA from 1 species